rnacentral:rRNA from 1 species
AUCAGUAGCUGGUCUGAGAGGAUGAUCAGCCACACUGGGACUGAGACACGGCCCAGACUCCUACGGGAGGCAGCAGUGGGGAAUUUUCCGCAAUGGGCGCAAGCCUGACGGAGCAACGCCGCGUGAGGGAUGAAGGCCUCUGGGCUGUAAACCUCUUUUCUCAAGGAAGAAGACAUGACGGUACUUGAGGAAUAAGCCACGGCUAAUUCCGUGCCAGCAGCCGCGGUAAUACGGGAGUGGCAAGCGUUAUCCGGAAUCAUUGGGCGUAAAGCGUCCGCAGGCGGCCUUGUAAGUCUGUCGUUAAAGCGUGGAGCUCAACUCCAUUUCAGCGAUGGAAACUACAAGGCUUGAGUGUGGUAGGGGCAGAGGGAAUUCCCGGUGUAGCGGUGAAAUGCGUAGAUAUCGGGAAGAACACCAGUGGCGAAGGCGCUCUGCUGGGCCAUAACUGACGCUCAUGGACGAAAGCCAGGGGAGCGAAAGGGAUUAGAUACCCCUGUAGUCCUGGCCGUAAACGAUGAACACUAGGUGUCGGGGGAAUCGACCCCCUCGGUGUCGUAGCCAACGCGUUAAGUGUUCCGCCUGGGGAGUACGCACGCAAGUGUGAAACUCAAAGGAAUUGACGGGGGCCCGCACAAGCGGUGGAGUAUGUGGUUUAAUUCGAUGCAACGCGAAGAACCUUACCAGGGUUUGACAUCCUGCGAAUCCCUUGGAAACGAGGGAGUGCCUUCGGGAGCGCAGAGACAGGUGGUGCAUGGCUGUCGUCAGCUCGUGUCGUGAGAUGUUGGGUUAAGUCCCGCAACGAGCGCAACCCACGUCUUUAGUUGCCAGCAUUCAGUUGGGCACUCUAGAGAGACCGCCGGUGAUAAACCGGAGGAAGGUGUGGAUGACGUCAAGUCAUCAUGCCCCUUACAUCCUGGGCUACACACGUACUACAAUGCUACGGACAAAGGGCAGCAAGCUCGCGAGAGUAAGCAAAUCCCAUAAACCGUGGCUCAGUUCAGAUCGUAGGCUGCAACUCGCCUACGUGAAGGAGGAAUCGCUAGUAAUCGCAGGUCAGCAUACUGCGGUGAAUACGUUCCCGGGCCUUGUACACACCGCCCGUCACACCAUGGAAGUUGGCCAUGCCCGAAGUCGUUACUCCAACCCUUGUGGAGGAGGACGCCGAAGGUGGGGCUGAUGACUGGGGUGAAGUCGUAACAAGGUAGCCGUACCGGAAGGUGCGGCUG